AUUGAACGCUGGCGGCAGGCCUAACACAUGCAAGUCGAGGGGUAGAGGAAGCUUGCUUCCUUGAGACCGGCGCACGGGUGCGUAACGCGUAUGCAAUCUACCUUUUACAGAGGGAUAGCCCAGAGAAAUUUGGAUUAAUACCUCAUAGUAUUUUCGAAUGGCAUCAUUUGAUUAUUAAAGUUCCAACGGUAAAAGAUGAGCAUGCGUCCUAUUAGCUAGAUGGUAAGGUAACGGCUUACCAUGGCAACGAUAGGUAGGGGUACUGAGAGGGAGAUCACCCACACUGGUACUGAGACACGGAGCAGACUACUACGGGGGGCAGCAGUGAACAAUAUUGGACAAUGGGCGCAAGCCUGAUCCAGCCAUGCCGCGUGCAGGAAGACGCAUCUAUGGUGUGUAAACUGCUUUUGUACGGGAAGAAACACUCCCUCGUGAGGGAGCUUGACGGUACCGUAAGAAUAAGGAGCGGCUAACUCCGUGCCAGCCGCCGCGGUAACAC
rnacentral:rRNA from 1 species